CAUUGUAGUCAGAGAACAUUAUUUGUAUGAUUUAAAUCCUUUUAAAUUUAUUGAGACAUUUUAAUGGUCUAUCGUGGUGAAUGUUAUGUGUGCACUCAAACAUAUGCCUUCAGCUGCAUUUGGUUGGAGUAUUCUAUAGCAAUUUACUUUAUUUGUGUCUUUAUAAUUAAAGUCAUUUUUAUGUAGGCAGCAUAUAUUUGAGUCUUGCUUUUUAUUACAAUCUGACACUGUCUGCCUUUAAUUGGGUUAUUUAGACCAUUUACAUUUUAACUGAUUAUUGAGAUGGUUGAUUUUCAAUCAACAAUCUAUUUUUCUAUUAUCUCUUCUUUGCUUUCCUUUUCCUCUUUUUCUUUGUUUUGGAUUAUUUUUUAUGAUUCCAUUUUUAUCUCCUUUGUUGCCUUAUGAGCUUUGUUUUGUUUUGUUUUUUUUGGUAGUUGUUUUAGGGCUUACAGUAUAAAUCUUUAAUUUAUCAUAGUUUAGCUUCAUAUAAUAUACUGAUCCAUGUAUAGUAUAGAAUUAUGUAUAGAUUCAUAUGCAAUCAUAUAGAUUCAUAUUCAAUUACAGUAUAGAUUCACGUAUAGAACACGAAUUUCUCCUCUCUCAGCCUUUGUGCUAUUAUUGUCAUACACUUUACUUCUACAUGUUAUAAAUCCCACAAUACAUUGUGAUGAACUUUUAAAGAGAUUUAAAGAAUACGAAAAAUAAUCUUUUAUGUUUACCCAUAUAGUUACCAUUUCUAGUGCUCUUCAUUCCUUUGUGUAGAUACAGAUUUCUGAUAUCAUUUUCCUUUUGCCUGAAGUACUUCCUUUAAUAUUUCUUGUAUUGCAAGACUUCUGGUGAUGAGUUCUUUCAGCUUGUGUGUGUUUGAGGAAAAUCUUUAUUUUGCAUUUGUUUUUGAAAGGUAUUUUCACUAGGUAUAGAAUUAACUAGGUAUACGUUGACAGUUUUUUCCUCAGUCCUCUAAAGCUAUUGCUCCACUGCCUGCAGGAUUGUAUUGUUACCAAUGAAAAGUCUGCUGUUAUUUUUAUCCCUGUUCAUCUGUAUAUAAUAUGGUUUUCUCCUUCUGUUUUUUUUUUUGAAGGUUUCCUUUCUAUCUCUGGUUUUAAGCAAUUUAAUUAUGAUACUCUUUGGUGUGGUUCCCUUCAUGUUUGUCAUGCUUAGGGCUCAUUGACAUUUUUGAAUCUGUGGGUUUUUUAUUUUCAUAAAAUUUGGAAAGAUUUGGCCAUUAUUUGUUCAAAAUAUUUUCCUUUAGAGACUCUAAUUAAAUAUAUUAGAUCAUUUGAAUUUGUCCCAAAGCUCACUGAUGUUCUGUUCAUUGUUAAAAAUCUUUUUUUAUGUUCUAUGUUUCAUUAUGGAUAGUUUUUAUUGUUAUUUGUUCAAGUUUAACAAUCAUUUCUUCCAUAGUGUAUAAUCUGCUGUUAAUACCAUCCAAUGUUCUUUUUCAUCUCAGAUAGUGUGGUUUUCAUCUCUACAAGUUUGAUUUGGGUCUUUUCUGUAUAUUUCAUGUCUCUAAUUAACACACUCAAUCUUUCCUCUAUCUCCUUGAACAUAUGGAAUAUAGUUAUAAUAGCUAUUUUAAUAUAAUUGUCUAUUAAUUCUACCAUUGUGUCAUUUUUGGCUAAUUUUCAAUUGAUUGAUUUUUCUCCUAAUUAUGGACCAUAUUUUUCUGCUUCUUUGUAUGCCUGGUAAUUUUUGAUUGGAUGCUAGACAUUGUGAAUUUUAACUUUUUGAGUGUGGAUACUUUUGUUUUCCUAUGCAAAUUCUUGAGCUUUGUUCUGGGAUGCAAUUAUUUGUAAAUAGUUUGACCCUUUUGAGUCUUGCUUUUAAACGUUUUUUAGGUGGGUGCAGAGCAACAUUUAGCCUAAGGCUAAUUUUGACCCGCUAUAGAGACAAAACCCUUCUGAGUACUUCAUCCCAUCCAAUGUCCCAUGAAUUAUGAGAUUUGUCAUUCUGGCUAGUGAGAACAGAAACUAUUCCCAGUGCCAUGUGAACCCUGAGUAUUGUCCCUUCUAAACCUUUUGGGUGGUUCUCUCAUUGGCUUGGGUAGUUUCCUCACAUGUGUAUGUGAAUUAGUACUCAGCUGAAGACCCCAGGGGAAGCCUCCGAAGAUCUCUGGAGGUCUCUCUCACUGCAGCAUUCAUCUCCAGUACUCUUCCCUCCCAACUCCAGCUUCAUCUCUCAACUUGAGGAGAUUGUCAGGCUAUGCCUUGAUUCACCCUUACUGCUAGGGCAAUCAUAGGACUCAUUUCAUUUGUUUCCCAUCUCUGUCCUUUGUUGCCAGAUGACCAAUGUCUUGAAAAUUGUUGUUUAACAUAUUUUGCUCAGUGUUUAGUUGUUUUAGGUGGAAGAAUAAAUCCUGUCCCUGUUAUUCCAUUUUGAAUUGCAAGAAUCAGAAUUCUCUAAAAUUUUAAAAAACAUAUCUUUGACUCCAUACUUUUUGAUUAUAUCUUCAUACAUAUAGUGCAUUUAUAAUGGUGUACACUGCAUUAUUGAGUAUUUUCCUGACAAGAGAAAAAUUUUGUUUUGACUAGGCAUUGAUGAGAAAUUAAUCACCCACUUACAAUUUUACACAUCUGAUAACUGGAAGAAUGUUCCAGAGACCAGCCUCUGGCUCCACACAUUUAAAAUCUUGUUUCUCCUCCACUUACCACUUUACUUUUAGUGUGCAGUGCUAUAGGAUAUAUUUAUAAAAAUACAACCUUUGGUGCUGCUCCUUCAUGUCAUUAUGCAAGGUGAGACAGCAUGAUGACUGAUAGGCACAUUCCUGGAAGACAUUCCUAGACUGGGAUGGCUGCAAAACCUCAACUAUACAUGGAAGUGACUGUAAACCACACAAAUAUAUUUCACUCAAAAAUAGUCCCCUAUUCCACUUACCUUUAGCUGAAUUCCAAAAAUGCUUGUGGCCACCACUCCUAGGCCACCCAACAGGGGGGAAACUGUGAUAUCGGAGAAGUCAGAGUAAACAGAGACGGCAGUCUUAACUGAUCGCAAUUAAGAUACCUUACUUUUGCAAAGUUUAUAAAAACAUGACUAUAUGAACACUUUGCUUGGGCCCUUCCGGGCUUGGAAGGGGCUGUGCCAGUGAAGGCCCUUGAAGCUUAAACUUCAUUGGCUCCAUCGUAAAUCUGCCUCUGCACAUGAAACCUCCUUGAUUCAGGCUCCCAGUGGCUCACCAAAUAGAGUCCAAACUCUUUCUCAGGGCAGACCAUGCCUUUUCGUGUUCCCAUUUACUUCUCCAGAUCCACUUUCCGCCCCCCAGACUUCUCACCAUGCCUGUUGGCAACUCGGUGCAUUGCAUAUGUUCUCGUUCCCAUGAAUGCCUUUUCAUCCUCUUCGUCACCUGGGAGCAUCUGCCCCUCCUUCAAGACCAGGUCAAGUAUCAUUUCCUCUGUGAGAUCAUUCCUGAUUCCACAGGGGAUUAAUUGUGUUCCCACAGCUUGUUCCUACUUUUAUUAUACUCCAUGUAAUACCGUGUUUCGUGUUUGUCUCUUUCACCAGCAUCUAAAGCCCCUAAGGACCUGUAACUUACUUAUUUCUCUAUCUCAGUGCCCAAGUCAGUAAGUGGCACCUAGUAAGAGCUGCAGGAUGGAUGUUUGAAUGGAUGAAAUCUCUUUGUUUUUCUCCUACAGAGUGCUGGCUCUUACUUACUUACUUGGCUUAUUAAGAGUUUAUUUUUUUAUAUCAUCAACAGUAUAGUAAGAGCAAGACAUUUUUGAAGCAUAAUUAAAUGGACGAAUGAAUAAAUAAAUAAAUGUUGACAGAGUCAUCCUGACCCUUGUUUAACAGAUAGCUAUCGAGCACCUACUAUGUGUUGGUCACGUUCUAGGAGCUACAUAAUAUGAACACCUUGCCGACUGCUUACUUAUGCCCUAACUAGUCUGCAGUCUUAGAUUUCACCAUUUAAGGCUCACAACACUCCUGUGAGGUGGUUUCUGUUAUUCUCUCACCUUUUAAAACAAGUUUGAGCCUCCACCCGUGUCUUAGGCAGGGGCUGGGGUUGGUGCUCCCGACUUGGCCAUCAGGGAAGCGGUUGAGCACAGGUCUGGGGUGGGGAGCACCCCUGCCCACGCCAGCGUGUCUGCAGUGGGUCCCUUCCUGACUGCGUUCCCGGUCCUUUCCCAAGGAGGUGGGUGUGCGGCCAGAACUUGGUCCAGGGACAAUCACCGCGACUGAAACGCCAGGGGGCGCGAGCAAUUCAGCUUUCCGGUAAAGGGCGGCGCGUCGGAACCACUGGGCUUCCCACCUGGACGCACAGCCCCGGGGCCGCCCUUUCACCCGCCAGCGCCUUUCCACAGAGGCAACAAACAAUCCGCCGAGUACUCACUAUGUGCCCGGCACUUGCCUGCUUUAUCUCAUUUGAUCUUCACAAACCCCCAGGAAGGAGGUUCUCAUAUCUUCAUUUUACUGAUGCUGAAAUGAGGCUAGCAGAGGUUAACUGACUUGCCGGGGGCUACACAGAGAAUGAUAAAGCUCUCGUUCAGAACUGCUUUUCCUGCUCGUCCUGCUUUUGCAUCCCCAUGUCCUACUAGGCAGAGGGUACACAUACCCCUAUAAACGUAAACAGGUAUCCUUCUCCCUUCUGUUUAUUUAAAAUCCAGUGCUUCCAGACCCACAGAUUUCCCUGCUCUGCUGAACUUGUUAGGCAGUUGGGGCCCUAGCACCUAUAUGGGGCACCAGCUGCAUCCUACCCAGCACUGCCCUGAGAUGUCUGAUCUACAAGACUUGUUUCCCCAUUAGAAUGGAAAUUCCAGCCCUUAGUGUGAGGCUUGACACAGAGCCCGUGCUUAAUAAGCACACUGAAUAAAUAACGGGCAGGCACAGCAUGUGUGUGCAUGUGCGUGUGUGCCUGUUUGUGUCCUCAACAUAGCUCAGGGCCGUCACUGAGUCAGUAGCAACGAACACCCGUUGAAAAUAUGUGAAUGAGGAUUUAAUAGUUUAACAUUUCUAUUUUGUUCUCCCUCCUUUAUGUUUGUAUUCAGCUGGGACUGCAAACUCGCAGAAGGUAAGCAGGAGGAAUGCGGGCGUGUGUGUGUGUGUGUGUGUGUGUGUGUGUGUGUAUGUGUGUGUGUGUGUGUGUGGUGGGAGGGACGUACUGGGGGAAAGUGAGGAGGUACAGGGCAGGGAGCAGAGCUUUCCCAUGGUGAGAAUAAGGCCCACAUAGAGAAUGAGAGAGAGAGAGAUGCCAAGAUCUGAGUUAGAGCAGAAGGAAAAUGAGCCCUGAAUAGGAGCCUUGUGUGUGGCCCUGUGGUGCUGACUCACCAGGACUCAGGAGAGGGAAAACAAGCUGGGGAUGAAGAAGGGGCCUGUAUGCUGUGGUCACCAGCCCCAAAUCACCCUACCACCCUGAGGACACCCUGUCUGCUCUGAUGCCCAAACAGUCCUGGAAGGCUUUGAUUUGGCUUGAGCAGGCUGGGGGAGCAGGGGGAACGGGGCAUGGGGGAGCAGGAGGGUGGGCACUAACCCCAGAGAAGGGAGAUGGGUAAGUCUUUUGAGAAUGCAAAAGGCCCUUCCUGGGAGAGCUGUGUGUUUGAGUUCAGGUGGGGAAGGAGGACCAGGACAAGGCGGGGACUCUCUCACCAAGCACUCAGCUGCCCCCUCCUCCACAGGCAGUGUGGGAGAUCAGACUCACAAACAGGGAGGGGAGAGAUGCUCAUGGCUUCACUGGCUUUCUGUCCAUACCUGAGGAGCAAGGCAUGCCUUAUAAGUGCUUCCCAGAGCUGAUGCUAGACAGAGGGAUGUACAGCCUGGCAGUAGAAGCUCCACCACCUUCCUCACUCCCAGCCUCAUCUCAGCUGUGAAACCGGUUCAGAGACAUGAGGACAGGAUUUUUGUGGCAACAAGCGUGCCAAGCAGCCCUAGGCCAGUGGACAGAGGGCAAGUCCUGAAUAAGGGGCAGCUCAGGUGAACAAGAUCAAAGCCCAGGUAUUGUAGAGAAGCAGGUGAGAGGAGGAAGGAGUGCCCGAGGGAGCAGCCAGGGCUGGGCUAGGAAUUCCUGGUCCCAGGUCAGCUCAGGGAGGAGCAGUCGGCUGAGGCCAAAUGAGGGAGCCAGACUGACUUUAUACUCUGAGCUCUGCCAUGAACUAGCCAUGUAAGCUUGAGCAGUCACCUGGCCUUUCUGGGCCUCAUUCUCCUCAUCUGUAAUAUGAGGGAAGCUCUAAGCUUCCUUCUAGCUCCCACGUUUGAUGACUGUGUAGGCAAACCUUCCCUCUCCUCUCUCUUCACCAAAAUCCCCAUUCAUUCCUUCUGUGGCCUGUUCCUAGCUGAAAUCUCAAAAGAAAGCUGCUAACUAGUGGAUUCAUACUUAGAUAUAUGACUGACAAUAAGCUAAUAUUCUAAACUCCCCAAAUGUAUUACUAUUUUGACUGUAGUGUGGUCGGUGGAAGGAGAGUGGACUUGAAGGCCAAAUGCAGGUUUGAAUCCAAACUAUGGCACUGAAUCUCAGCCCUGCUUUACUGUAGGACCUUGAACAAUUUACUGUACCUCAGUAGGUCUUAAUUACCUUAUGGGUCAAGUAGGAAUAACCUGCUUUUUUCUUAAUAGUUGUGUUGACUAAAUGAAGUAACAUAAAAUAUGUGGGCACCAAAUAAAAUACUCGGAAAAUGUUCUGCCCUCCUUUAGAGAACUUAUUUAUGACCAAAAGGAACAGAAUAGAGUCCGAGAUGGAGAUUAGGGUGCAGGCGGCUUACCGGGGAGUACCCUUGGGAUGCACGUGAAGGAGAGAAGGGGGAGGGGAAGUUGAGCUGUAGUCUCCAGAGGACUCAGUCAGCCCUGUAGGGGGUCUGGAGCUGAGAUGACCCUUCAGAGUUCUCUUGAUUUCGGACAAGGGCUGGGUGUUUAUACUCCACACCUACUAGUCUUUGGGUAUGAACUGCUUAUGAUUUCUUUCAGUUACGGCAAUUCCUAUAGGGGGCUUACAGCCAUCAGCAUUCCCUAAAGCUAGGGAAAUAAAUCCUUCCUUCCUGAAGGGGACCUGAGCGUCUACCACGUUGAGUUAGUGAGCAGAACUCUUGUCAAAUCAAGUAGGUGCCUCCCCAGGGCUAAAGGCCAGUCUUGUUGCAGCACGACCAGUAAUUUCUCAGAACUCAGUUUCACGGUGGCGUGGACAGGCCACAGGAUACUGCUGUGCUCCCCCAGUCUAACAGCAGCACAAACAUUCACACUGCUGGGAGAAGAGACGCUGCUUUUACAUCCCUCCCAGGAAAAAAGUCACUUGUAGGUGUCCCUGAAGGACCUAUUGGAUUCUUUUCAAAGCUUGAUCUUCAUUUCUCUUUUGCUUAUAGAGAUCUAGAGGGCAGGAGGGGACAUUUAUGGGUGAUGCAGUAUUUUGGCAACAAGGUCCUUUCUCACCUUGCUUUUUCCCAGGUCUUCCCUACAAAUUACUUGAGAGUGUUUUGCAGAGUGCUGUGACCUGGGAGCUCCUUCUUCUACCAGCCCAAGCCCAUGGAGAGAGCACGCGACAUUGGUGUCUGUCAGUCUCCCUUUAACAGGACUCAGCUCUUGGGUGCCUGUCUCUGACCUCAUCCUAAGACCAAGACAAGCCAACUGCAACAUAAGGCAAACACGGGGAGAUACUGCAGAACUCCAGGUCCAUGUCUAUUGCACAUAUAUACUGGGCUGCGAUGGAAAACGUACAUCUUACUGGGAGUCCUAAAUCAAAAAAAGUUUGAGAGCUUGAAGUAAGCAUACCCCAAAGUGUGUCCAGUGGAACGACAGUCCCACAAAACACCAUGGAGAAAGCAGGACGGGAGAGCAGGAGCUGGCAGUACAAUUCAUGACCUUGACAUUAGACCUGCUGAGCUGUCUCUCA